GAUGAACGCUGGCGGCGUGCUUAACACAUGCAAGUCGAACGGGAAACCUUUUAUUGCGGCUUCGGCAGGUUUAGCUGGUUUCUAGUGGCGGACGGGGGAGUAACGCGUGGGUAACCUGCCUUAUACAGGGGGAUAACAACCAGAAAUGGUUGCUAAUACCGCAUAAGCGCACAGGACCGCAUGGUCCGGUGUGAAGAACUCCGGUGGUAUAAGAUGGACCCGCGUUGGAUUAGCUAGUUGGCAGGGGAACGGCCUACCAAGGCGACGAUCCAUAGCCGGGCUGAGAGGGUGAACGGACACAUUGGGACUGAGACACGGCCGGGACUCCUACGGGAUGCAGGAGUGGGGAAUAUUGCACAAUGGGGGAAACCCUGAUGCAGCGACGCCGCGUGAAGGAAGAAGUAUCUCGGUAUGUAAACUUCUAUCAGCAGGGAAGAUAGUGACGGUACCGGAAGAAGAAGCCCCGGCUAACUACGUG
rnacentral:rRNA from 1 species